rnacentral:rRNA from 1 species
AGUGAACGCUGGCGGUAGGCCUAACACAUGCAAGUCGAACGGCAGCACGGUAAGAGCUUGCUCUUACGGGUGGCGAGUGGCGGACGGGUGAGGAAUACAUCGGAAUCUACUUUUUCUUGGGGAACACCGUGGGAAAAUUUCCCCUAACACCUAACAGUACUAACGGGUGAAGUCUGGGGAUCUUGGUGCUUUUGCUGUUGCAUUUAGCCGGUGCCGUAUUAGCUAGUUGGGGGGGUAAGGUCCCACCAAGGCGACGAUCCGUAGCUGAUCUGAGAGGAUGAUCAGCCACACUGGAACUGAGACACGGUCCAGACUCCUACGGGAGGCAGCAGUGGGGAAUAUUCGACAAUGGGCGCAAGCCUGAUCCAGCAAUGCCGCGUGGGUGAAGAAGGCCUUCGGGUUGUAAAGCUCUUUUGUUAGGAAAGAAAAGCAGCAGGUUAAUCCCCCGCUGUCUUGACGGUACCUAAAGAAUAAGCACCGGCUAACUUCGUG